rnacentral:lncRNA from 1 species
UCUUCCAACGAAUAGAGUUGACUACAUUGUGUUAGUAGCUGAAAUCUGUUGGUGCAGCACUUAGCCCCGCAUAGCACUUAGCUCUUACACUUUCGACUGGCAUUUAGCUUUGAUAUCAAUCGUAAUAACUCGACCCGCUAGCAAUAAUAACUCAUUGGGUCCAAACCACCGACCCAAAAUACUUAAGUCCAAUUGUCAUUACUGACGUGUAGACAUCAUAUAUUCUAAUCAAAAUCAUUUUUCCAUCAAAUGUGAGACUAUUAGAGCAUUACAAUUGGUAAAUUAAUUGUAUUCUUUAUUUGAAUAGCCAAUGGCUGAGAUUAAUUCUGACAGAUUUGCAGAAAAUUU